GCGAGGCGGAGCGAAACACAAAAUACCGGUCCCAGUUCAGAUUGCAGGCUGCAACUCGCCUGCAUGAAGGCGGAAUUGCUAGUAAUCGCGAAUCAGAAUGUCGCGGUGAAUACGUUCCCGGGCCUUGUACACACCGCCCGUCAAGCCAUGGGAGCCGGGGGCGCCUGAAGUCCGGGACCGCGAGGACCGGCCUAGGGCGAAACUGGUAACUGGGGCUAAGUCGUAACAAGGUACC
rnacentral:rRNA from 1 species